UGACCUUCCACCAUGGUUCUGUAAUAGAGUUAGCCAACCAUGGACUGAAACCGUGAACCAAUAUAAAUGUUUCCUUCUCUAAGUUGUUGUUUAGGUAUUUGGGCCACAGUGAUAAGAAAUUGAAAAACACAGUACCACUAUUAAUACAUGGCAGUCCAGGACUACGGAAUCCUUCUCUGAUUCCCAAAACAAAGGUGACCUCAGACAGCUUCCCUCUCAUGGGUGUUCUCUCCUGCUCAAGAAAAAUCUUACCGAUUACAUUCAUUUUGACAAAACUUAGACAUGUUUCUUCCUGGUUAUAGGCCCCUGCCCUCCAUUUUUCUUGUACUAUUUACUUUAGAAAACACAAUUGUAAAUUAUUUCUUAGCCUCUGAGAUAUAAAUCUUCUCUCAAGUCUCUUACCAGUUGUAAAAUAUUUUACAACCCCAAAGGGUCUUUGCCAAGGAUCUGAGAGCCAUUUCUUUGAAAUGCAACAGCAUCUCUUCCUCCCAGUCUCUGUCAGAGUGUAGGAACUUAACUUCAAUAAGUGCCAAUUAGCAAAUGAGAGGCCAAGCUCUCCUCUAAUGCCCUCUAGAACUUUCCCACCAGCUCAUCCCUGGGCUUAGAAACUUCCUUCCUUUCAUUUCAGUUUAAGGGUUGAGUAAAAUCUCUGUACCCCAUUGUGACAGUCUAGAAUAAAGUUUUCCUUCCCUGUUUAACUCUGGUGCAGUUUACCAUUGACACUUCCUUUCUCUAUUAGUGAUUUUGUCAAGCAGGUCAUCCAGCA
rnacentral:lncRNA from 1 species